rnacentral:rRNA from 1 species
UAGGGAAUCUUCGGCAAUGGACGAAAGUCUGACCGAGCAACGCCGCGUGAGUGAAGAAGGUUUUCGGAUCGUAAAACUCUGUUGUUAGAGAAGAACAAGGACGUUAGUAACUGAACGUCCCCUGACGGUAUCUAACCAGAAAGCCACGGCUAACUACGUGCCAGCAGCCGCGGUAAUACGUAGGUGGCAAGCGUUGUCCGGAUUUAUUGGGCGUAAAGCGAGCGCAGGCGGUUUCUUAAGUCUGAUGUGAAAGCCCCCGGCUCAACCGGGGAGGGUCAUUGGAAACUGGGAGACUUGAGUGCAGAAGAGGAGAGUGGAAUUCCAUGUGUAGCGGUGAAAUGCGUAGAUAUAUGGAGGAACACCAGUGGCGAAGGCGGCUCUCUGGUCUGUAACUGACGCGGAGGCUCGAAAGCGUGGGGAGCAAACAGG